rnacentral:rRNA from 1 species
GAUGAACGCUGGCGGCGUGCCUAAUACAUGCAAGUCGAGCGAACGGACGAGAAGCUUGCUGCUCUGAUGUUAGCGGCGGACGGGUGAGUAACACGUGGAUAACCUACCUAUAAGACUGGGAUAACUUCGGGAAACCGGAGCUAAUACCGGAUAAUAUUUUGAACCGCAUGGUUCAAAAGUGAAAGACGGUCUUGCUGUCACUUAUAGAUGGAUCCGCGCUGCAUUAGCUAGUUGGUAAGGUAACGGCUUACCAAGGCAACGAUGCAUAGCCGACCUGAGAGGGUGAUCGGCCACACUGGAACUGAGACACGGUCCAGACUCCUACGGGAGGCAGCAGUAGGGAAUCUUCCGCAAAGGGCGAAAGCCUGACGGAGCAACGCCGCGUGAGUGAUGAAGGUCUUCGGAUCGUAAAACUCUGUUAUUAGGGAAGAACAUAUGUGUAAGUAACUGUGCACAUCUUGACGGUACCUAAUCAGAAAGCCACGGCUAACUACGUG